GAUGAACGCUGGCGGCGUGCCUAACACAUGCAAGUCGAACGGAGACCAGCCUUAGAGACCUUCGGGUCAAAGAGGGGAAGACUGAGUGGCGGACGGGUGAGUAACACGUGGGCAACCUGGCUCAUAGAGGGGGAUAACAGAGAGAAAUUUCUGCUAAUACCGCAUAAGCACACACUGCCGCAUGGCAGAGUGUGAAAAGAGAAUCGCUAUGAGAUGGACCCGCGUCUGAUUAGCCAGUUGGCAGGGUAAGAGCCUACCAAAGCGACGAUCAGUAGCCGAUUUGAGAGGAUGAACGGCCACAUUGGGACUGGGACACGGCCCAAACUCCUACGGGAGGCAGCAGUGGGGGAUAUUGCACAAUGGGGGGAACCCUGAUGCAGCGACGCCGCGUGAGUGAAGAAGUAUUUCGGUAUGUAAAGCUCUAUCAGCAGGGAAGAUAAUGACAGUACCUGAAUAAGAAGCCCCGGCUAACUACGUG
rnacentral:rRNA from 1 species